GACGAACGCUGGCGGCGUGCUUAACACAUGCAAGUCGAACGGUGAACCUCUUCGGAGGGGGUCAGUGGCGAACGGGUGAGUAACACGUGGGCAACCUGCCCCCGGCUCUGGGAUAACUCCAAGAAAUUGGGGCUAAUACCGGAUGUUCACCGCUUCCCGCAUGGGUGGUGGUGGAAAGGGUUCCCGGCUGGGGAUGGGCCCGCGGCCUAUCAGCUUGUUGGUGGGGUAGUGGCCUACCAAGGCGACGACGGGUAGCCGGCCUGGGAGGGUGACCGGCCACACUGGGACUGAGACACGGCCCAGACUCCUACGGGAGGCAGCAGUGGGGAAUAUUGCGCAAUGGGCGGAAGCCUGACGCAGCGACGCCGCGUGGGGGAUGACGGCCCUCGGGUUGUAAACCUCUUCCAGCAGGGACGAAGCGCAAGUGACGGUACCUGCAGAAGAAGCACCGGCCAACUACGUG
rnacentral:rRNA from 1 species